UACGGGGGGGGCAAGCGUUGUUCGGAAUUACUGGGCGUAAAGGGCUCGUAGGCGGCCAACUGAGUCAGACGUGAAAUCCCUCGGCUUAACCGGGGAACUGCGUCUGAUACUGGAUGGCUUGAGAUUGGGAGAGGGAUGCGGAAUUCCAGGUGUAGCGGUGAAAUGCGUAGAUAUCUGGAGGAACACCGGUGGCGAAGGCGGCAUCCUGGACCAACACUGACGCUGAGGAGCGAAAGCCAGGGGAGCAAACGGG
rnacentral:rRNA from 1 species